GGUGGCCAAGACGGUGGUUGCUAAGGGUUGGCUCAUGGAACCAAGCUUUUUUUGUCUGUACUGAGGAUACAGACCAGUGUGCAGAUCUGAGCGCAGUCCAAAGGGAGUGGACAAGAAAUAAAAGACGGCUUCUGAAAGCCGGAGCGCGUUUGCAGAGUGAAGUGUUUUUGAGAUACGAGGGGCUAGAUUAGAGGGGGCCUAACGGUGAGGGAGCACUUCCGAGAACUCUGUCGCUGAUCUGAGCGGUUCCCUUUCUACAGAGACGUCCGUGGAAGAGAAAUUUCGAAAAAAGGUUCCGGCCGGAACACAUAAAAGUCUAAGGCAGGAAACCGCCGGGACUCUGAAAGAUGGGUUCGGGGCGAUCUAAGUCUCCACCACCAGACUGCAGAAUUACAAAAGUAAAAAGUACAAAGUAAAUAUGGUUAUUACUGCGUUUCAUGUUUCCAUGAGUGGGAAACUGGUUAUGGGUUCAAAAGGAGAAUCACUUAGUGUAAAAGACAUAUGCACCUUUAAAAGAAAAAUUAGAUACAAAAGAUGAAAUUCGAAAAAAGCAAAACUAUGAAAACUAAACCCCUAAAAGAAACAAAAGAGUGAUGAGAGUAACAGAAAAAAAGGAAAUAACAACUCUGGGAAAGAAUUUGCACUCUGCCACACACACACACACAGACCACACACACACACACACACAUAUCAUGUCAAGAGCAAAUGCUCCCAUUGUUUCUGCUCUCUGUUCUAAUGCAGAACUGAGCGCGAUGAGGGUAAAUCCGGAUCUGGACUCCUUUCCCACCAUCAGCAGAAGAACCGAAGGAGAAGAAGCGCCUGACCAACAACCAGAACAGGGUGGAAGCUCUGAUACCACAGCAGCUGGAGGAGACAGACCACAGCAUGGAGGCCUCGCAGACUCCCACAACGUCUGCAGCCAUCACGUUCUGGGCUCAUCAGACUGACCAGCUACUACAAGCGUGUGUGUCUGACACAGACACCUGCUUAUGACAAUCAGCAAAGGAAAACAAGGACAGAGAAACAGCAGAGUGGGAAGACGUGCUCUGACACAGACACUGGUUGAAACAACAGGAAAGACUUCAGACGUGAUCGGCCCAAUAGAGCUGCAUCUGAGGAUCCAGGAAAGGUCUGUCAUCGCAUUUGAAGAACAACUGUCCCAUCUACGUCAGGCUCGACCCACUAGCGCUCACAUCAGUGAGCGUUAGUGGGUGACGUAGAAAACGAGGACGCUCUGACUCAACACUCAGCCUUACAGGAAGGCCUGCUUCCCUGUGGCUCACACACAUAUAAUGUAGGUUUGAUCAGAGGAUGUGAACCAGUGGUCAUCACACCUAAAUCUGACCAUGAAUUCAAACAACAACACCCUCUAAAGGAAGCCAUAGAUGGCGUUACUGCAGACACCACUAAGCUACUGAAACAUUGGAUGCUCCAGGCCACAAAGAGAGCCUGUCUAAAUUACAUUUUUCUG